UGUUUUGCCACAUAGGAAACAGACUUGUGAUGAAAAGCAAGGGGAUGAUGAGCACUCAGCUCAGAACAGGGACCACCCUUGGGGAGGAGGAAGGAGAGAGGAGCACGGUGUUAACACGCGGCGUCUCGACAGUGUGCAAGGGCGCUGUUUCCUAAAGCUGUGUCCUAGGUUCACAGCUGUUCAUUUGUGUUAUUCUUUAUACCUUACAUUAUACUUAUCUUUAUAUAUAUAUGAAGUACUUCAAUAAAAAUCAUUUUUAGCUCUUUGGUCUCAGCCACAGAAGCAAGAUGACGAAGGGGACGUCAUCAUUUGGUAACCGUCGCAAUAAGACGCGUACAUUGUGCCACCGUUGUGGCUCUAAGGCCUACCACCUUCAAAAGUCGACCUGUGGCAAAUGUGGCUACCCUGCCAAGCGCAAGAGAAAGUGUAAUUGGAGUGCCAAAGCUAAAAGACAAAAUACCACCGGGACCGGUCGGAUGAGGCACCUAAAAAUUGUAUACCACAGAUUCAGGCAUGGAUUCCGUGAAGGAACAACAUCUAAACCCAAGAGGGCAGCUGUUCCAGCAUCCAGUUCAUCUUAAGAAUCUCAACAAUUAGUCAUACAAUAAAUGUUUCGGUUUUUAAAAAUCUAAAAACAAAACAAAA